AACGAACGCUGGCGGCAUGCCUAACACAUGCAAGUCGAACGAGACCUUCGGGUCUAGUGGCGCACGGGUGCGUAACCCGUGGGAACCUGCCCUUAGGUUCGGAAUAACUCCCCGAAAGGGGUCCUAAUACCGGCUAAUGUCUUCGGACCAAAGAUUUAUCGCCUUUGGAUGGGCCCGCGUUGUAUUAGCUAGUUGGUAGGGUAAAAGCCUACCAAGGCGACGAUCCAUAGCUGGUCUGAGAGGCUGAUCAGCGACACUGGGACUGAGACACGGCCCAGACUCCUACGGGAGGCAGCAGUGGGGAAUAUUGGACAAUGGGCGAAAGCCUGAUCCAGCAAUGCCGCGUGAGUGAUGAAGGCCUUAGGGUUGUAAAGCUCUUUUACCCGGGAUGAUAAUGACAGUACCGGGAGAAUAAGCUCCGGCUAACUCCGUG
rnacentral:rRNA from 1 species